GACGAACGCUGGCGGCGUGCUUAACACAUGCAAGUCGAACGGGCCCGCUCUCUUGUUUGUGGGUGGGUUGAGUGGCGAACGGUUGAGUAUCACUUGAGUAACCUGCCCCCUGCUCCUGGAUAACGGCUUGAAAGGGCGUCUAAUACGGGUUGUGCCGGCUGGUCCGCAUGGGCCUGGUCGGGCUAGGUUCAUCUUCGGGUGUUUCGGCUGGGGAUGGGCUCGCGGCCUAUCAGCUUGUUGGUGGGGUGAUGGCCCACCGGGGCGGUGACGUGUAGCGGGCCGGCGGGGGUGGGCGGCGACACGGGGACUGGGAAACGGCCGAGAGUGCUGCGGGAGGCAGCACUGGGGGGUAUUGCAGAGUGGGAGGAAGCAUGAUGGAGCGAAGCCGGGUGCGGGAUGGAGGCGUUCGGGUUGUGAACCUCUUGGUUCGGUGGUGAAGGCCGUGUGCGUUGAGGCGGGGUUGACGGUAGCCGGGUAUGAAGCGCCGGCUAACUACGUG
rnacentral:rRNA from 1 species